AGUAGGGAUGGCCCUAAGUCAAUGACUGGUGUCCUUAUAACAGACGAGAGGACAUGCUGAGUCACAGAGACACAGGGAAGAAGGCCAUGGAUCAGACGGAAGAUUGAACUGGUGCAUCUGCAAACCAAGGAACACUGAAGACUGCCAGGAGACCACAGGAAGGUAGGAAGAGGCACGGCAGGACUCCCCGACAAGUGCAGGAGGGAGUGUGGCCCUGCUGGCACCUCCAUUUCAGACUGCUGGCCACCAGAGCCACAAGACAAUCAAUUUCUCUUGUUUCAAGUCAUCCAGCUUUUGGUAAUUGGUUGUGGCAGCCCUAGGGAAUGAAUACAAGUACUUUCUGUUUUUUUCUUUUUUUGAGAUGCAGUCU